UUGCAACAGCAGCAUUCAUACUAAAACUAGAAUGAUGCAGAGAAGAUUAGCAUGGCUCUUGCGUAAAGGUGACACGCAAAAUUGUUAAGCGUUUCAAAUUUUU